AUGGUCUACAGGACAGGGCUGCUGCUUUUAACCAUCUACUGGGCAGGUGUUGAUGGUCAGACUCUGACAGAGUCUGGAUCAGCAGUUAAAAGACCUGGAGAAUCCCACAGACUGACCUGUACAACAUCUGGAAUAUCAUUCAGCAGCUAUGAGAUGAACUGGAUCAGACAGGCUCCCGGUAAAGGACUGGAGUGGAUCGCUUACAUUCACCCCAGUAGUGGUAGCGAUAUAUACUACUCUCAGUCAGUCCAAGGCAGGUUCACCGUCUCCAGAGACAACAGCAAAGAGCAGCUGUAUCUGCAGAUGAACAGCCUGAAGACUGAAGACUCUGCUGUUUAUUAUUGUAUGGAUUUGGGCAAUAAACUGGCCUGGUCAGACAACACGGACAGCAUCUACAGGAAAUUUGUUGGGGAGGAAGCAUUAAAAAGAGGGAUGCUGAAUGACUGGACAGACGGGUGA